GGCGAACGGGUGAGUAAUACAUAAGCAACCUACCCAUUCGACCGGGAUAACAGUUGGAAACGACUGCUAAUACCGGAUAGGUGACCGGGGGACAUCCCCUGAUCAUUAAAGCUGGGACACAGCACGAAUGGAUGGGCCUAUGGCGCAUUAGUUAGUUGGCGGGGUAACGGCCCACCAAGACGAUGAUGCGUAGCCGACCUGAGAGGGUGACCGGCCACACUGGGACUGAGACACGGCCCAGACUCCUACGGGAGGCAGCAGUAGGGAAUUUUCGGCAAUGGGCGCAAGCCUGACCGAGCAACGCCGCGUGAGUGAAGAAGGCCUUCGGGUUGUAAAGCUCUGUUGUAAGGGAAGAAUGGCCAAGAGAGGGAAUGCUCUUGGAGUGACGGUACCUUACCAGAAAGCCACGGCUAACUACGUGCCAGCAGCCGCGGUAAUACGUAGGUGGCAAGCGUUAUCCGGAAUUAUUGGGCGUAAAGGGAGCGUAGGCGGUUUGAUAAGUCUGAGGUGAAAGUUCGGGGCUCAACUCCGGAUUGCCUUACAAACUGUCAGACUAGAGUGCAGGAGAGGGCAAUGGAAUUCCAUGUGUAGCGGUAAAAUGCGUAGAUAUAUGGAGGAACACCAGUGGCGAAGGCGGUUGCCUGGCCUGUAACUGACGCUGAGGCUCGAAAGCGUGGGGAGCAAAUAGGAUUAGAUACCCUAGUAGUCCACGCUGUAAACGAUGAUUACUAAGUGUUGGAGCAAUUCAGUGCUGCAGUUAACGCAAUAAGUAAUCCGCCUGGGGAGUAUGCACGCAAGUGUGAAACUCAUAGGAAUUGACGCGGGGCCCUCACACUCGAUGGAGUACGUGGUUUCAUUCAAAGCAUCGCGAAUAUCCUUACUAUGUCUUGCACUACCGAGAAUGUCCUGAGUCGGGAGACGUUUGGAGAUCAAGAGGUGCUUGCCCGCCGUCGCUGCUGGUCUAGUCGUUGUAGUUC
rnacentral:rRNA from 1 species